GUGGGGAAUCUUAGACAAUGGGGGAAACCCUGAUCUAGCCAUGCCGCGUGAGCGAUGAAGGCCUUAGGGUUGUAAAGCUCUUUCAGCUGGGAAGAUAAUGACGGUACCAGCAGAAGAAGCCCCGGCUAACUCCGUGCCAGCAGCCGCGGUAAUACGGAGGGGGCUAGCGUUGUUCGGAAUGACUGGGCGUAAAGCGCACGUAGGCGGAUCAGAAAGUCAGAGGUGAUAUCCCAGGGCUCAACCUUGGAACUGCCUUUGAAACUCCUGGUCUUGAGGUCGAUAGAGGUGAGUGGAAUUCCGAGUGUAGAGGUGAAAUACGUAGAUAUUCGGAGGAACACCAGUGGCGAAGGCGACUCACUGGCUCGAUACUGACGCUGAGGUGCGAAAGCGUGGGGAGCAAACAGGAUUAGAUACCCUUGUAGUCU
rnacentral:rRNA from 1 species